CAGGUAGGCGGUCUAGCAAGUCGGGUGUGAAAGCCCAGGGCUCAACCCUGGAAGUGCAUCCGAAACUGCGUGACUUGAGUACUGGAGAGGGUGGUGGAAUUCCUGGUGUAGAGGUGAAAUUCGUAGAUAUCAGGAGGAACACCCGAGGCGAAGGCGACCACCUGGACAGAUACUGACGCUGAGCUGCGAAAGCGUGGGGAGCAAACA
rnacentral:rRNA from 1 species